rnacentral:rRNA from 1 species
UACGUAGGGGGCGAGCGUUGUCCGAAGUUACUGGGCGUAAAGCGCGCGUAGGCGGUCCCUUAAGUCUGGUGUGAAAGGUUCAGGGCUCAACCCGAAGAGUGCACUGGAUACUGGGGGACUUGAGUUUGGGAGAGGAGAGUGGAAUUCCUGGUGUAGCGGUGAAAUGCGUAGAUAUCAGGAGGAACACCUGUGGUGUAGACGGCUUUCUGGACCGUAGCUGACGCUGAGACACGAAAGCGUGGGUAGCAAACAGG